CUUUCUCUUUUUUCUUCUUCUUUUUUUCUUCUUCAUAAGGUGUAUGUAUUGACAUGUAUACAUCCUUCUAUUUUUUUUCUUUCAUUUUUUUUCUUUUCUAUUUUGCUUUUCUUUUCCUACCAACUUUUGAAAUAUUACAAGCAUAAUUAUUCAACCUCACACAACCCCAAACAAGACUCUUUCAACCUUUUGAAUAGGGUGAUAACAUUAUUU
rnacentral:lncRNA from 1 species